rnacentral:misc_RNA from 1 species
AACGCACAUUGCGCCCUUCGGUAUUCCGGAGGGCAUACUUGUUUGAGCGUCAUUUCAAUCUUAAAAACAAAAUUUAUUUUUUGAUUUUUAGUCUUGAGUAUUUCUUUUAAGCAAUUGAAAGAAUAACUUGAAAUGAAUUAGCAAAAGCGAAGAAUUUUCAUAUUGAUUUGUUUUUAUACAACGUAAUAGGUUUUACCAACUCGUUGCAAAAAGAAUAAAUUAAUGAAUUCUUUUUAAAAGCUUUGGCGUUAAUAACCAAACUUUCUUAAAAGUUUGACCUCAAAUCAAGCAAGAUUACCCGCUGAACUUAA